rnacentral:rRNA from 1 species
UAGGGAAUCUUCCGCAAUGGACGAAAGUCUGACGGAGCAACGCCGCGUGAGUGAUGAAGGUUUUCGGAUCGUAAAACUCUGUUGUUAGGGAAGAACAAGUACCGUUCGAAUAGGGCGGUACCUUGACGGUACCUAACCAGAAAGCCACGGCUAACUACGUGCCAGCAGCCGCGGUAAUACGUAGGUGGCAAGCGUUGUCCGGAAUUAUUGGGCGUAAAGCGCGCGCAGGCGGUUUCUUAAGUCUGAUGUGAAAGCCCACGGCUCAACCGUGGAGGGUCAUUGGAAACUGGGAGACUUGAGUGCAGAAGAGGAGAGUGGAAUUCCACGUGUAGCGGUGAAAUGCGUAGAUAUGUGGAGGAACACCAGUGGCGAAGGCGACUCUCUGGUCUGUAACUGACGCUGAGGCGCGAAAGCGUGGGGAGCAAACAGGAUUAGAUACCCCCGUAGUCC